UGUGAUGUCCCGACUUUGCAUAUUUAUUUUUGAUUAUACGAUGAUUAUUAAAAAAUUAUACGGUGAUUAGUGAAACAUUUAUUACUAAUCCUCCUCGAUGUCUACUGGAUGAUUUUUGUUUUUAAUCAAACAGAAAAUUUCAUCUUACUCUUCAAUCUUCAUCACUGACUUCUUCUGUUCCUCUUCUUUUUCUCAUUCUUCUUAUCUCUCUUAAUUGUUUCCUUCAUCUUCUAUUCUCGUCAUUCAAGGCAACCAGGGAGCUUUAUUUUCUGGAAGAGAGCAGGUUUUGCAUUUCUUUUCUCUCUCAAUUGUUGUGUUAGGGGGGAAAGAAGCAUUGAAAUCAUCGUAGAUCCAGGUUAUUCAAUUCUGUUGAUGAAUAGGUUUUUAUUUCUCUGUCUUAUUAUCUAGGGUUUUGAUUCUCUUACCCUAUGGAAUAGAAUCUAUCUAUUUCCUUAAAAUCUCUUCUUCUUUAUGCUUGAGGUAACCAGAUUUUGUGGAAUUUAUACAAUAAAUAGUGAUUAAUUUGGAUAUUUAGGGAUUGAAAACGAAAAUUGAACUUAGGGGUUGAUCUUAAUUGAGGAUUUUUUGCUGAAAAUUUGCGUUUUUUGUUUCUGCAUAUACGGAGGUUGGUUUUAAAUCUGAACGAGAGAUGUGUAAUUGCUAAUAGCUGAUCUUGGAAGGAAAAUCAAAACCUGGGUUUUGGAUUUUGAUGUUCAAAUGUAGUUCCUUUUUGAGUUAUUGGUUGCAGGAUUGAUGAUUUUUGUCACAAGUGAUUGUUAGAGAGUUGGGGUUGUUGAUUUAAGAAAUUAUUAUCUAAUGAAGUGAGAGUAGAGUAGAAUAAUGUACUCUUUGGAGCAGAUUCUGUGUCGGAAUCAUCGAUUGGAGCUGCUACAGAUGUAAUUUAAUUCCAGCAGGUUUCGUUUGGAUUAGUGGCUCUUUUACAAGGCUAGAAGAGUUCCUGCGACAAAGGUCACCAAGGUGACUCCUGUCCCUGGUGUUUCCUUGAAAAUGCAGCAAAGUACAAAGACUGAUGCAAGAGGGUGUUUAGCUGAUUUAUAUCUUGAAGAACAGAUAACUUGAGACCCGUCACAACAACAUCCUACUCCUUGCAUGAAAGAUGUGGAUAUAUUAGUGUCUGACUGAAUAAUCCUAAUGAAGACAAGACUGAGGUUGCUGAGAACUACAGCAUGGUCCAGUGAUUACAGAUAUUGAUUCUGAUCAGGAGGAUCCUCUGAUGUGCAGCCUCUACGCACCAGAUAUCUACAUCAAAUCACGUGUCUCAGAGGUUUUGAAGUUCCCAAUGCAAAUUGGUUUUUCAGCUUAUCUGAAGACCUUGUUUCAAUUAUAUGGAAACUUUACAAAACGACAUAAGUCAAACCAUGCGGGGCAUUUUAAUCAAUUGGCCGGUGGAGGUGUCUGAGGAAUAUAAGUUAGCUUCAAAUACAUCUACCUAACUGUAUACUUUGUCCAUCGGUUUGUAUCUCAAAAUUUCAUUGAAAGGCAAAAACUUCUACUGGCUAGGGUCACUUGCAUGCUCAUGGCUUCGAAGUACGAAGAGAUUCGUGUCGAAGAGUUCUGCUUCAUCACAGAUAAUACAUACUCAGGCGACGAGGUGUGUGCCAAUUGCCACCUGAAUCUUCAAUGCAGUUUUUAUUUUCCUGUUCGAAUGUUGACUAUACUCAUGGCUGGUACUGAAAAUGGAGGGCGAAGUACUAAACUAUCUGUGCUUUCAGUUAUCAGCACCUACAGUUAAAACGUUUCUUUAGGCUUGUUGCAAUCAUGGAGGCUGCAGUGAUUCACAUGUAGAGAAAACUAAUGGCUCCAAUUUAGAGGAAGAUGCGUGCACUGACUCACAGUUGGCUGACAGUGAACAGGCCACUUAUGCUUCUGCCAACAAUGACCUAAAGGGUACUAAAGCAUAUCAGGAAGCUCAUGUUCCCGGACUUUAUAAUCUUGCCAUGGCCAUAAUUGAUAACAGGGGUCACAGAGUAGUGGCACAGGUGAUAUGAAUGGUUAUGGAUAUGAAGUGCUGGUGGCGAUUGAAGCAACCUGGUGGUAGUGGUUGAAGGCUGUAGAGAUGUUGUCGUUGUUUAAUGAAGACAGAAGAGAUGUUAUCGGAUGGCUGCCAAUGUAAAGCUAAACCUGUAAAUGUUGAACAUUUGAAUGUAAAGCUGUUAACAGAGCUACGUAGCCUACAUUUUUCAGACAAAGUCGGGGCUAUAGCUCAGUUUGCUUGAAGAAGGUCAGAUUCACUCCAUUUCCUCUCCAAGAGAAAUGGAGCUAGCGAUCUCAAAUAUUCACAAUGCAGUGGAUGAAAGCUGGGAUAUCCCAGAUUGUAUGCCAGAGUUGGACAAACUGUUGCAACAAUAUAUCCAGGAGGUUCAGUUCGCUGUGCAUAUGGAGUUAAUUUGGACUUAAAGCAAUACAGGUGAAGGUACUACAAAGACAGCUUAUGAAUACUGCAGACCUGAAAAGCCAGCUGACACUAACUUGUCGAAAUUGUAGGAUCCCAGAACGCCUCAGAGAAGAGCCUGGACUGGGUAGAAGUUGUUACAUAAUCCAGUGCCAUUUAGGGCUUUUUUUAUACUCUAGUUGAAUGUUCGAAAGGAUAUAGAGGUCUGGGGGCUGAUUUAGAUUUGUUAGUUUGUGUGUUGUCAGUUUUGCAUUGUGAUAUUGAAUUUCUUAAUGAAGAGUAGAAUGAGUUUGUUAGGUCUGUGAUAUCCUUAGAAUUUUUUGAAAGAGUUGGUAGAUUGGUAAAACUUCUCCUUAGAAUCUUUUAAAAGAGUUGAUAGAUUGGUUACUGUUUUUUUUUCUUGAUUGUGAAAUUCCUAGAAAAGUUAAGUUGAAAAGGUUUUUGAGAUUCUGUCAAAUUCAUUCUGGUAUAAUAUUUAGGGAAACUUAGGUUGCAUUCCACCGAUAACCUUUUGAAAGUUAAGACAUUGUUGAAAAGUACUUGUAAGGUUGCCAUAGUGGGUGUUGCUGGAGUCAUGGAGACAUUUGAGUAGUUGAAAUGGAACACACAGCUGAAGGUUCUGUACCGAACAACCAACAACCGAGUCUGCAGGGGACAGAUUCUGCUACCCUUGUUCAAAGUAACUCAAGCAGUUUUUGGUACAUUUGUUCCACCAUAUUUUGCUUCACUCCCAUGUAUAGUUAAGGCAGUUUUUGAACCACCAGUGGGAUUAUUAUAGAGAGCAUCAUAUUAAAUUUAUAUACUUUUGGAAUUUGAAAACUA